CCUACGGGAGGCAGCAGUGGGGAAUAUUGGACAAUGGGCGCAAGCCUGAUCCAGCAAUUCCGCGUGUGUGAAGAAGGCCUGCGGGUUGUAAAGCACUUUAAGCAGGAAAGAAGGCUUCGAGGUUAAUAUCCUCGGAGAUUGACGUUACCUCCAGAAUAAGCACCGGCUAACUCCGUGCCAGCAGCCGCGGUAAU
rnacentral:rRNA from 1 species